GCACCUCCGUCACCCCACUAAAUAUCUUCCCAUCGCCGUGACGAAAGGGUCAUCUGACGAGGUGACUGGGGAAUAAAUAGCCAGGGAUCAGAUGCUUCGUGGAGGCAUGUGAUGGCAGCCAGUGUUUACAGUGCAGCCAUCACUCUUUCUCUCCAUGUUAACGUGGCCAUGGGUGUGUCACUACUCUGAUUUCAGGGCUGAAAGCCUCUUGGAACAAUGGAGGUGACUUAGGUGUCGACUGGAAAUGAUGUGUCUUUGCUGCCCAGAUGUUCUCAGCUGAGGUGAUGACGGGCGUGGGGGUGUGCACCCGUCCACCACUCACACGCCAGCACAGAUCCUAAGCCCACCCAUUGCUCGCUCCAAUCGGAGACAUCGUCAACCUCUUUGGUCCUCCUCUAUCUACUGCAAACAAACCUCAAAGUCAAACAGAAUUUUCCUUUCCCUUGAUAAACAUGGAUUAUUUAACGUUCAAAUCAAAGAGGCACUCCCCUUUUCCUGUAAGGUCACGAAACCCUGCAGUGCAGCCAGAGUUGAUUUGGUGUAAAGUGCCUUUACAAACAACAUAAUUUGCUAAUCAUUACAAGGAUGCAUCAGGUUUAUCCUUUGUUUUUCUUCAUGUGUCCAGCUACGUUUAUAGACACGUGAGGUCAUUUGCUCCUACUUGUUGUUACUGUCCUGCCCUCAGUGGUGGAAGAAGUACUCAGAUCCUUUACUCAAGUAAAAGUAGCAAGACCACACUGUCAAAUUACUUCACUACCAACAUUCAGAACUAAAGAAACCUCAAAAUUUACUCAAAGUAUCAAAAAUAAAAGUACUUGUUCUCCAGAAAAA